GUCAGUAUAUGUUGGAAAAUUGUAUAUUAAUAAACAUGAAAUAGGAGCAAAUUAUCAAUAUUUUAUCAGUCUAAAUAAAUAUUUUAAGUAUCAUUCUUCAGCAUAUUUUCCAUUGAUGGUAAUAUUGUUUUUUGUUUCUUACGUAUAACCGUUCGCCAUCAUAAAAUAAUCAAAUAAAAUAGAAUUAAAAUUAACACAUCAAUUAAGGAACUACCUACAGAUUUGAUCACAAAAUAAUUCAGUGUUUAUAAGAUCAUAAUUUGUACAAAUAGCACAUCACAUUGCGUAGUUAAGUAUUACAAUUUCACAAACUUUUGUCAUACAAUAUUGUUGACACACCUUAGCUGAGACCUACUUGAUCCUAUCUAGGGCUUCGGGUCUGAAAAGGCUUAAAAUUCACAAACAUCCCUUUAGCUCUAAAGCUUUUUCCAAUGCCCACGCAUUUAGAACAAGUUGUACCUAGUAGGUAAUUGUAAAUUUACUAUCUAUUACGUAUUUUAAUUCCGAUUCAUUCUGCAUUUAUUAGGAAAAUACUAUAAUAAAGUUAACCUAAUAUUA